UCCUACGGGAGGCAGCAGUGGGGAAUAUUGGACAAUGGGCGAAAGCCUGAUCCAGCCAUGCCGCGUGUGUGAAGAAGGUCUUCGGAUUGUAAAGCACUUUAAGUUGGGAGGAAGGGUCGUUACCUAAUACGUGACGAUUUUGACGUUACCGACAGAAUAAGCACCGGCUAACUCUGUGCCAGCAGCCGCGGUAAU
rnacentral:rRNA from 1 species